UACGGGGGGGGCAAGCGUUGUUCGGAAUUACUGGGCGUAAAGGGCGCGUAGGCGGUUCGCUAAGUUGGAUGUGAAAACUCUGGGCUUAACCCAGAGCCUGCAUCCAAAACUGGCGAACUUGAGUACUGGAGGGGAAAGCGGAAUUCCUGGUGUAGCGGUGAAAUGCGUAGAUAUCAGGAGGAACACCAAUGGCGAAGGCAGCUCGCUGGGACGGUACUGACGCUGAGACGCGAAAGCGUGGGGAGCAAACAGG
rnacentral:rRNA from 1 species